GAUCAUGGCUCAGGAUGAACGCUGGCGGCGUGCCUAAUACAUUCAAGUAGAACGCUGAAGGAGGAGCUUGCUCUUCUGGAUGAGUUGCGAACGGGUGAGUAACGCGUAGGUAACCUGCCUGGUAGCGGGGGAUAACUAUUGGAAACGAUAGCUAAUACCGCAUAACAGUAGAUAUCGCAUGAUAUCUGCUUGAAAGGUGCAAUUGCAUCACUACCAG
rnacentral:rRNA from 1 species